rnacentral:rRNA from 1 species
ACAGCAGUCGCCGCGGGAAUACGGAGGGUGCAAGCGUUAUCCGGAUUUAUUGGGUUUAAAGGGUCCGUAGGCGGACUUAUAAGUCAGUGGUGAAAGCCUGUCGCUUAACGAUAGAACUGCCAUUGAUACUGUAAGUCUUGAGUAUAUUUGAGGUAGCUGGAAUAAGUAGUGUAGCGGUGAAAUGCAUAGAUAUUACUUAGAACACCAAUUGCGAAGGCAGGUUACCAAGAUAUAACUGACGCUGAGGGACGAAAGCGUGGGUAGCGAACAGGAUUAGAUACCCGCGUAGUCCCUGUCUCUUAUAC